AACGUGACGUCAAUGCCUAGUAACUGACGCAGCCCUUUAAAAAAAAGAAGAAGAGAGAUUCAGCAAGCGUUAAUUAUCGUUUGUGUACUGCACUAAAGACGAAACAUAUUCUCAUCUCAGUACAAGCGAUCAUGGUUGUUUGUGCGCGCGAGUCCGUGUAAGUUUCUCUGUCUCUCUCUCUCUAUCUCUCUCUCUCUCUCUCUCUCUGUUUUCUUUUUCCCGAGCAGCGAAUCCGUCCUGGGUUUCCAAGCGAAAGUUGCAUGGAGACACGCCGCGUAAGACGCCUAUAAUAAAGAGGAUGGUGAGCGACAUACAGGGAAAGCAGCAACAACUCGACCCAAGAAGAGAACAUUUGCGAACAUUUCAGAAAUAUUUAGCCAUACGAGAGAAAAGCUCGUUUGAAAAAAAAAAUCACUGCAGCGAUGCAACGGAGGCGAGUCCGAGCUCUUGCAUGGAGUUGGAGAGGCACAAUUUAUGUACAUUACAUGCACUCCACGUAACACUCCUGAGCGAUGUCUUUGUGAGUGUUUUUUUUCUUACUGGGCGCUAAAAAUAGCAUCGGUGUUUGAUCGUGGUCCAGAAAUAGGCAGAGGGUAUCACUUGUAUAAAAAGGACUGCGAUUCCCAGAAAACUUGGACGUGUUGCUGAGGAGAGAUGAAUCAAGGGCACAAUGGCUUGCAGCACUGGUAAGUGCAAAAACUCAAGGUCACCAUCGUGGAAGUCACCCAACUUGUCCGUCCGCGUGAGCUCCCACCAGCUCUGUCACCCUUCUUCAGUGUGACGUCACCGGCUUUGAAAUCUGCUGAUGACAGGAGGUCCAGCACAAGGAGAAGAACUGAGAAUGCAGAACUGAGAAUUGAGGAAUAGGGAAGCUGACCGUUACAAAAGAUGCGUCUAGUUUGGGAAAGGCCUCAGUCAUGAGAAUACUGAGUUCCCAGGGUCAGUCAUUUGAAGCAGGAUGUUCACAUGAAAGAAAUAAAAAUAAAAUGUAUGUGUUAUUCUUACAGUUUCUGUUUUUUUAUGAUGUGGCCUCUGAGCUGCGUCAGACUGGGAAAUACUAAUGUGUCUCUCAGUGAUAUACAGGAUGAAAACCUGGGAAACUUUGGGAUAAAUCAUUAGGAUAAUACGUCUUGUGCACAAGAUCAACGUCAAGUCAAUUUUUUUGUGCUUUACAUCCAUUCAUGGAAAUUCAGCAAGUUGAUUUCUUUAUAAAAGCAAGAUAACAGCCUCAGGUAUUUAAAAUCUAUGUUUGUAAAGGAUUUUCUUAAGUAUAAGUUGGACAUAAUGUAAUUUCGAGAAGUUUCAAACUAUUCAGAUUUCUGCCACGUGUCCCUUUAGAUAUAUCAGACGUGUACAGAAUUAGACAAACGGUAACUGAGGGAAAAUGUGUGUGUAUGAGGUAAAAAAAAAAUACAAAUGUUAAAAAGUACAGAUUAGGAGAUUACGUAUAUGUCUAGGUCUUUACUCAGUGAGGGAAAAUGUGUUAAACCACACGACCAUAUAAACGCUUGUACUGUUUUGCUGUGUUUUAAUCGUAACAUGAAGCAUAGUCUGAUUUAAUCAAAUUUUCUUGUGUAUCAUUGUAAGAAGUAGUUUGUAUAUAUAUAUCCUAAAAUGGUUUCGUUUUGAGCGUGCUUAUAAGACGCGCUCGCGUAACGUGACAGCAAAAGUAAACGUCUCCUCAUAUAUAAUGAGGGACGUACCCUGGAUGUUGUUGUAUUUUUUUAGCUUGUGGUGAUUUAUAAUUGUGAGGGUGCCAUAUAUCUGAUCGAUAGAAAUAGUUUCAUUAUUGUUUGCUGAGAGAUGUUUGAAUGAAACACUAUGAAGCAUUAGUAGAUUUAAUGCUGUGUUGGUGCCGUCAGAGGGUCGCUGUCCACUCCACGUGGUGCUGAAAUGUGCGCUACUUCUGACGGCUGAUCAAUCAAAUAAACUGUUAGCUUAUAGCCUUACUAAUAUAACAAAGUUACAUUUUAUUGAACAUGGCUGUUUUCAUACGUUCUGUCACUGCAUAUCUUUAAUAAAAUGUAUAUUGCAUUGUGCAUGUAGACUAUGAUGAAGUUUUAACGUCAUAAAAGCUUUAAACUGAACUUUGUUAGCAGUGGUCUUACCAUAAAAUUUAAACAUGUGAUCAUAUUAAAACUGUGCUGUGAAACCUUAAGAUCUCACUUAUCAGUCUUAUCUGAGCAGUGAGGGAAAGGGGGGGAAUAAAAAUGAAUGAAAUAAUUAUCAGACAUCGAGCUCAUUUUAGAAAUUGUCUGUAGUACGUUUUGUAGUUCAGGAGAUGGACAAUAACAUUGCAACGAGUGUUUGUUAAAAGUGAGAGGUUACAUGUGGUUUCGUGCGUGAGUGAGGAUGUGUGUCUGUGAUGAAAAAAAAUAUUUUUUACAGCAUGGAUUAUUUUACCUAGCAUAAGAAAAAAAUGAAAUAAAUCUAUGAAAAAUCUAAUCGAUAUUUCACAUCAGUCAUGAAAAUAUAAGUUCAAAUACAGUGAUUUAAACAGUGACAUUGUAUAAUUUUUUUGAGCUUUGGGUUUUUUUACGUAUUAUUGCUUUACCUUUUUUUCUGAAUUGUUGUUUUUAUCGUAUGAUAGGGUUAAUUUAUUAAAAUGUAAUAUUUGUAUACAACUGUAUAAAGUUUAAUGAGGAUGCUGUUUAAAUCAUGCUAUGUGGAUGACGUUAAGAUGUGAUUCCUGUUAGUUCUGCACUUUUUUGUAUUUCUAUUUUCUGUGUUGUGUAGCCUAUUUCAAGGGCACUGAGAGAAAAAAUGUACAGAAUUAACUGAAUUAAAUCUUACAUGAUUACUUGUUAUUUCUGUACAAGAAAUAGUUAUAUUUGUGGUGCCAGUGGCAAAGGGAGAGCACAUUGCAAAAUACGUAGCCAUGCUGGUAUAUUGUUAAAUACAUGACUGAACUAAAUUAUAUAUUUUUUAGUUAAACUGCUUUCUUUGUUUCCUUACCCAUGUCAGUACAAAUAAAUUAUCUGUUGUUUUA